rnacentral:lncRNA from 1 species
UGUGCAGAAUGUGCUUUGUUAAACAAGUGCUUGAAGGCAGUAUGCUUGGUAAAAGUCAUCGCCAUUCUCUAAUCUUGAGUACCCAGGGACACGAUACACUGCGGAAGGCUGCAGGGACCUCUGCCCAGGAAAGCCAGGCUUGCAUGAAGGAAAUGAUUUCCUAUGAUUCUGCUUACUGCUUAAAAAAAUUAAUCAAGUUUUCUGCCUGACAAGAGCCAGAAAAACUUCAUCUCUUUUACAAGAAACAUUGAGAUUCCUGUAAAAUUAAGAAAUCACACAAUUUGAUGGUCUACAUUAUCUAAAGCAAAUGAGACUUCUAUUUGGAACAAAGACUACCUUGUUGGGAAAUGAGUCUGCAAGUUAAAGUGUUUUCUGUUUUCUAAGGAUAAUGGUCUCCAGCUUCGUCAAUGUUCCUGCAAAGGACAUGAUGCUGACUUUGAAGAUGCAAGCUUCCACAUCUACAGCCUCAAGGAAACAAAUUCAGCCAACCAACUGAGGGAGCUUUCCUUGUCCUGCCUCAAGAUGAGAUCACAGUCUGCCCAACACCAUGAUUUAGGCCUUGUGACACCUGGUAUGGAAGACCCAGUUAAGUUCUCUCCAAACUCUUGACCCACAGAACCUGUGAGAAAAUAUAUGGAUAUUAUUUUAAACUGCUAAAUUUGUAGUAAUUUGUUAUGCAGCAAUAAAAAAAACUAAUGCAAGGAGAUAUCAAUUAUUGUAAAAAGCUUAGCUUUUGUUUUAAAAUAUAGUUCACCAGUAGUAAGUUACUAAUAAGUAACUAAACAAAUAAAAGCAAGCCAUUUACAAAUCAAUAAUAA